GAUGAACGCUAGCGGCAGGCCUAAUACAUGCAAGUCGAGGGGUAGAGUUAGCUUGCUAACUUGAGACCGGCGCACGGGUGCGUAACGCGUAUGCAACCUACCUUUAUCUGGGGGACAGCCCGAAGAAAUUCGGAUUAACACCGCAUAAAAUCACAGUAUCGCAUGAUGCAAUGAUCAAAUAUUUAUAGGAUAAAGAUGGGCAUGCGUGUCAUUAGUUAGUUGGCGGGUAACGGCCCACCAAGACCACGAUGACUAGGGGAUCUGAGAGGAUGACCCCCACACUGGUACUGAGACACGGACCACGAUCCUACGGAGGCAGCAGUAAGGAAUAUUGGUCAAU
rnacentral:rRNA from 1 species